rnacentral:rRNA from 1 species
UUAAGCGACUAAGCGUACACGGUGGAUGCCCUGGCAGUCAGAGGCGAUGAAGGACGUGCUAAUCUGCGAUAAGCGUCGGUAAGGUGAUAUGAACCGUUAUAACCGGCGAUUUCCGAAUGGGGAAACCCAGUGUGUUUCGACACACUAUCAUUAACUGAAUCCAUAGGUUAAUGAGGCGAACCGGGGGAACUGAAACAUCUAAGUACCCCGAGGAAAAGAAAUCAACCGAGAUUCCCCCAGUAGCGGCGAGCGAACGGGGAGCAGCCCAGAGCCUGAAUCAGUGUGUGUGUUAGUGGAAGCGUCUGGAAAGGCGCGCGAUACAGGGUGACAGCCCCGUACACAAAAAUGCACAUACUGUGAGCUCGAUGAGUAGGGCGGGACACGUGGUAUCCUGUCUGAAUAUGGGGGGACCAUCCUCCAAGGCUAAAUACUCCUGACUGACCGAUAGUGAACCAGUACCGUGAGGGAAAGGCGAAAAGAACCCCGGCGAGGGGAGUGAAAAAGAACCUGAAACCGUGUACGUACAAGCAGUGGGAGCACGCUUAGGCGUGUGACUGCGUACCUUUUGUAUAAUGGGUCAGCGACUUAUAUUCUGUAGCAAGGUUAACCGAAUAGGGGAGCCGAAGGGAAACCGAGUCUUAACUGGGCGUUAAGUUGCAGGGUAUAGACCCGAAACCCGGUGAUCUAGCCAUGGGCAGGUUGAAGGUUGGGUAACACUAACUGGAGGACCGAACCGACUAAUGUUGAAAAAUUAGCGGAUGACUUGUGGCUGGGGGUGAAAGGCCAAUCAAACCGGGAGAUAGCUGGUUCUCCCCGAAAGCUAUUUAGGUAGCGCCUCGUGAAUUCAUCUCCGGGGGUAGAGCACUGUUUCGGCAAGGGGGUCAUCCCGACUUACCAACCCGAUGCAAACUGCGAAUACCGGAGAAUGUUAUCACGGGAGACACACGGCGGGUGCUAACGUCCGUCGUGAAGAGGGAAACAACCCAGACCGCCAGCUAAGGUCCCAAAGUCAUGGUUAAGUGGGAAACGAUGUGGGAAGGCCCAGACAGCCAGGAUGUUGGCUUAGAAGCAGCCAUCAUUUAAAGAAAGCGUAAUAGCUCACUGGUCGAGUCGGCCUGCGCGGAAGAUGUAACGGGGCUAAACCAUGCACCGAAGCUGCGGCAGCGACGCUGAUGCGUUGUUGGGUAGGGGAGCGUUCUGUAAGCCUGUGAAGGUGUGCUGUGAGGCAUGCUGGAGGUAUCAGAAGUGCGAAUGCUGACAUAAGUAACGAUAAAGCGGGUGAAAAGCCCGCUCGCCGGAAGACCAAGGGUUCCUGUCCAACGUUAAUCGGGGCAGGGUGAGUCGACCCCUAAGGCGAGGCCGAAAGGCGUAGUCGAUGGGAAACAGGUUAAUAUUCCUGUACUUGGUGUUACUGCGAAGGGGGGACGGAGAAGGCUAUGUUGGCCGGGCGACGGUUGUCCCGGUUUAAGCGUGUAGGCUGGUUUUCCAGGCAAAUCCGGAAAAUCAAGGCUGAGGCGUGAUGACGAGGCACUACGGUGCUGAAGCAACAAAUGCCCUGCUUCCAGGAAAAGCCUCUAAGCAUCAGGUAACAUCAAAUCGUACCCCAAACCGACACAGGUGGUCAGGUAGAGAAUACCAAGGCGCUUGAGAGAACUCGGGUGAAGGAACUAGGCAAAAUGGUGCCGUAACUUCGGGAGAAGGCACGCUGAUAUGUAGGUGAAGCGACUUGCUCGUGGAGCUGAAAUCAGUCGAAGAUACCAGCUGGCUGCAACUGUUUAUUAAAAACACAGCACUGUGCAAACACGAAAGUGGACGUAUACGGUGUGACGCCUGCCCGGUGCCGGAAGGUUAAUUGAUGGGGUCAGCGCAAGCGAAGCUCUUGAUCGAAGCCCCGGUAAACGGCGGCCGUAACUAUAACGGUCCUAAGGUAGCGAAAUUCCUUGUCGGGUAAGUUCCGACCUGCACGAAUGGCGUAAUGAUGGCCAGGCUGUCUCCACCCGAGACUCAGUGAAAUUGAACUCGCUGUGAAGAUGCAGUGUACCCGCGGCAAGACGGAAAGACCCCGUGAACCUUUACUAUAGCUUGACACUGAACAUUGAGCCUUGAUGUGUAGGAUAGGUGGGAGGCUUUGAAGUGUGGACGCCAGUCUGCAUGGAGCCGACCUUGAAAUACCACCCUUUAAUGUUUGAUGUUCUAACGUUGACCCGUGAUCCGGGUUGCGGACAGUGUCUGGUGGGUAGUUUGACUGGGGCGGUCUCCUCCUAAAGAGUAACGGAGGAGCACGAAGGUUGGCUAAUCCUGGUCGGACAUCAGGAGGUUAGUGCAAUGGCAUAAGCCAGCUUGACUGCGAGCGUGACGGCGCGAGCAGGUGCGAAAGCAGGUCAUAGUGAUCCGGUGGUUCUGAAUGGAAGGGCCAUCGCUCAACGGAUAAAAGGUACUCCGGGGAUAACAGGCUGAUACCGCCCAAGAGUUCAUAUCGACGGCGGUGUUUGGCACCUCGAUGUCGGCUCAUCACAUCCUGGGGCUGAAGUAGGUCCCAAGGGUAUGGCUGUUCGCCAUUUAAAGUGGUACGCGAGCUGGGUUUAGAACGUCGUGAGACAGUUCGGUCCCUAUCUGCCGUGGGCGCUGGAGAACUGAGGGGGGCUGCUCCUAGUACGAGAGGACCGGAGUGGACGCAUCACUGGUGUUCGGGUUGUCAUGCCAAUGGCACUGCCCGGUAGCUAAAUGCGGAAGAGAUAAGUGCUGAAAGCAUCUAAGCACGAAACUUGCCCCGAGAUGAGUUCUCCCUGACUCCUUGAGAGUCCUGAAGGAACGUUGAAGACGACGACGUUGAUAGGCCGGGUGUGUAAGCGCAGCGAUGCGUUGAGCUAACCGGUACUAAUGAACCGUGAGGCUUAACCUU